CUGACCCCUUCCGUGCCGCAGUUAACACAAUAAGUAUUCCACCUGGGGAGUACGACCGCAAGGUUGAAACUCAAAGGAAUUGACGGGGGCCCGCACAAGCAGUGGAUUAUGUGGUUUAAUUCGACGCAACGCGAAGAACCUUACCAGGAUUUGACAUCCAACUAACGAAGUAGAGAUACAUUAGGUGCCCUUCGGGGAAAGUUGAGACAGGUGGUGCAUGGUUGUCGUCAGCUCGUGUCGUGAGAUGUUGGGUUAAGUCCCGCAACGAGCGCAACCCCUAUUGUUAGUUGCUACGAAAGAGCACUCUAGCGAGACUGCCGUUGACAAAACGGAGGAAGGCGGGGACGACGUCAAAUCAUCAUGCCCCUUAUAUCCUGGGCUACACACGUAAUACAAUGGCCGUCAACAAAGGGAAGCAAUAUCGCGAGAUGGAGCAAAUCCCCAAAAACGGUCUCAGUUCGGAUUGCAGGCUGCAACUCGCCUGCAUGAAGCUGGAAUUGCUAGUAAUCGUGGAUCAGCAA
rnacentral:rRNA from 1 species